CCCAGCCAAACUAUCAAGCAGGUGACUGUCUAGAAAUGUAAGCUCUCUAAAGUUUUCCUCCCAUGACUCUCUCAGAAAGCCACUAGAAGAAUGCUCCACCAAAACAAGAAAGUAGACCCAGGGAGCAGGAGACACUUUCUUGCAAAGAAGAAGGAAAGGAAGUCCUAAUGUGACAACCAACCAGGAGGCCAAGAAAUCAGCCAGUCAAGAUACUGAAGCCCUUACCAAGUGGAAGAAGUUAACUGCUGCCCACAAGCAGGUAGGCCCAGACCAGCUGGAACCAGAAGGUUGAUGAUGCAGACUCCUGGUUACCUCACCACCAGCCAAUCAGAAGGAUGUCCACGAGCUGACCACGCCCCCACAGCCCUCUCCUCAGCACAUAGCCCCUUCCUCCUUUCCCUGUAGAAUCUCCGAGCAAAACCUGGGGAGUGGGAAGCUGGUUCCUUGGGACGUGAGUCCACCAUCUCCCCAGGAUUGCCGGCUUCCUCAGUAAAGCCAUCUUUCCUUUUACCCAA